rnacentral:rRNA from 1 species
UACGUAGGGGGCAAGCGUUGUCCGGAUUUAUUGGGCGUAAAGAGCGUGUAGGCGGUCAGAUAGGUCUGUUGUGAAAACUCGAGGCUCAACCUCGAGACGCCGAUGGAAACCAUCUGACUAGAGUCCGGAAGAGGAGAGUGGAAUUCCUGGUGUAGCGGUGAAAUGCGCAGAUAUCAGGAAGAACACCCGUGGCUAAGGCGGCUCUCUAGUACGGUACUGACGCUGAGACGCGAAAGCGUGGGGAGCGAACAGG